rnacentral:rRNA from 1 species
UCUCUCGCGGUAAUACGGACCGUCCGAACGUUACUCGGAAUUACUGGGCUUAAAGGGUGCGUAGGCGGCCUUGCAAGUCGGGUGUGAAAUCCCUCGGCUCAACCGAGGAAUUGCGCUCGAUACUGCGGGGCUCGAGGGAAACAGAGGUGAGCGGAACUUGCGGUGGAGCGGUGAAAUGCGUUGAUAUCGCAAGGAACACCGGAGGCGAAAGCGGCUCACUGGGUCUCUCCUGACGAUGAGGCACGAAAGCUAGGGGAGCGAACGGGAUUAGAUACCCCCGUAGUCCUACCCCUAAACGAUGAGCACUAGGCCGAGGAACUCUCCAUGGUUUCUUGGUAGUAGGGAAACCGUAACUGUCCGCCAUGGUCUACUGCAAAGU